rnacentral:misc_RNA from 1 species
GAUGUCGAGAAAUACUAGCUGUCUGAGGACCAGAAUGUGGUUGUUGCAUGUAAGGAUAACUCUUAGAAGAUGGACCAGGAUGCUCACCAAGAGCCAGAGAGUCGCCGAGGAAAGCUGGUGGUCUAUUCGGUGAUCCCCUAGAAUAAAUAGGUUGAGUCUGCACAAAAGCAUGACGUUCACCGACUUGAGGAAGAUCAGGUGAUGUGCUUGCGUAGAAGUCAUUCCUUGGAACUACUAAACUUGGUUGAAAAUGUACUCGAGGAACACUAUGUUGUACACCAGCUGCAUUCCCAGAGGAAUCGUUCACAAAUUGCGUGAGUGGUGCCUGAGCCUGUGCUGGACGUGGUGGAAGAGAAUUCCAAGAGGAACUCAAAGGUACAGCGAAUGGAGAUGGUUGAUGAGGAAAUGGAGUUUGAUAUGCAGGAGAACUUCCAAUAUAUGCAGAAUUCAAAGGUGGGGGGAAGUUGUGAUCUCUGGGCAUCUGCUGAGCAAAAGCACUACUUGAAGCCUGUGGAAAUGAAGGAAAGGGAGCUGAUAAGGGUGCUUCCUGGAGUGUAUCUGAUGGGUGCAAAUCAUUAGCAGACACAUAUUGAUGAAGCUGGACAGGUGGGACCAUGAAUGAUGUCUGGACAGAUGAUAACUCCAAAACAGACGAAUCACAUUUCUCUUGAGGUUUCUCCUCUGCAUUUAGGAGCAUCUGAUCAGAGACAUGAUCUUCAGACUGAUGAAUCCCCAUACAUCCAACCGAGGAAGGCAUGCCCCCAGUAGCAUCACCAGGAAGCUUCUCCACUUCAGCAAUAAUUACUAGACUGUCAGCAGGUCCCAUUUGAUUCUCUUUUCCAUAGAGAUCAGAAGAAGGUUCAGUCUCUUUCAUAUCUUUCAUUUCCAUAUCAGGAAUAUCCUUGCUUUU